GCGAUGUAAAAUACACAUUUAAAGUGGGUAUUAACUAUUGUUAUUUAAGCAUAUUAUAUAGCAUAAAAAUGAUCUAUUAGUAUUUUGUAUAUGCCCACUGCAUGUCCACACAGACUCAUAGUGAGUUACUCACUAAUAUAGAUGACAGAUACAAACCGGUAGGUAGUAUUUUAUGAACUAAUAAAAAUAAUUUUUUCCGAGACACAAAUCAUAAAUUUUCAAAAUUUCAACACCAAUAACAGUAAUGAGUAAUGACUAAUGGGUAUUGCGGGUAUGACGUCCUCUUAAUGCAACGACCGAUCGUGUGCGGUCGACCGGUACAACGUGAUAGAAGAACAAGACGUCUUUCGAUUGAGGAACGAGCGGCUGAAACUCAUGUCGAACGAAUUAAACGUAGUAAAGCACUCGUUAGUCGCCGUACUAUCGUCCGCGAUAUCAUUGGUCUACUGCUGAGGAUUCGGACGUGUCGCCGCCGUGUUAAGUUGGGUUUGUAAUCGGACCGUUUCUUUUCAUUGACGAUUCAUAUCUUAUACUGAUUAAAUUUAUCCAUAGGGGAAGAAUUUCAAUAAAAAACUGUAGAGGAUAAUGAUGCGCUUAUUUUUUAAGUUAGUCUGUUAGCCUUAUACGACCCUAGAUGACAGAAUUACUUAAUGAGAAAUUUCGCUCCCUCCCAAUAUCAUGAUUAAAGGUAGGUUCAGUUAUACCUUAGUACACCUAUAAUCGUGCAUUUGUGCCCCCAACAUCAUAUUUAUUGAUGUAUCUGUAAUAAUAAACACAUUACCUUACCUAAUUUAUUGAUUUAAUAAAAUAAGAAUUAAUUAAUCACGAUGUAUAAUACAUAGUACAAGUACACAACACGAGACUAGGAGGUUGCUGAUUUCAAAACCGAGGGAUCCAAGAACGCCGAAGCUCGUCCUAAAUCUCGCCUAUGUCUAUACGUGAUCGUCGAUCGAGCGACGAUUCGACGUCCGUAUACAUGUAUUAUCGGAGGCGUCUUCGGGCGCGCAGCGGUCGGGAUUUUAUAAUCAUAUAAUAAUAUCGUAUAAGACAUCCAUUGUGUUUCGACGACGUAAUAUUAUAUACGUGCAGUGUAUAGUGCCUGUACCUAUACAUAUUUUAUACCUAUAUAAUAUGCUUUACUAUGUAUACUGUACGGUAUACAUAUAAAUAUGUGGAUAGAACGAAAGAGAGAACGUUUCCGACGUCUCGUGCGGUGGUCGCGUCUUACGAUGGGUUAUAAUAUUAUUAUCGUCGUGCGGUGCACAGCAGUUGUACGCAUUAUUACCAACGACGGAAAGUCGUCAAACGCGCACACGGGAGACGGACCAUCGGUGACGGCGGCGGUGUGGGCGAGACAGAGACCGCGCGGAGGGACAGAGACCGAGCCAGUGAAAAAUACCUUGUCGUUCCUUUAAUGGAAACUGUACCUAUAUAUAUGUGUGUUACGACCGCAGCAACAGCAGCAGCAGUCCGUGUAGUCUUUGUAAACCGGUUCGUACAAUAUUAUUAUAAUACGGACUUACGGUGUAUGUGUGUGUGUCUGUGUGUAUACGGCGAGAGAGAGGUGUACCUACCGUGUGCGUGUGUGCACUGGCACCGAUUGUCGUGCGGGAAGAGGGGAAAAGGAGCUGAGAGAAAGACCUAUGGAGGAUAGGACGUGCGCGUGCGUGUAUUUAUGCAUAAUGAAACCUGUCCAGACGAAUGAACCCGGCGAACGCGGCGGCGGCGGCGGCGGCGUCCUCUCAUCUGAGCUGUUGUAUAUAUAGUUUCAGGUCAUAAAAUAAUAUUUUCUACGCCAUAAAUGCAUUUCUUUUAAGGCAUUGACAUCCGGCCUCUAAUCGUUUUAUGCUGCAGUAUCCGCAGCUGUCGAUCGAUUUUCGAUUGUGUGUAGCAGAUGAUAUGUCACCGUGAACUUGUUGACGGGUCUCUACGAGAGAGGUAUUAUUAUGAUCAGUCGGGCUCAUUCAUGGGAAUUCGGCUGGUCUGUCGGUUGAAACCGAACUUCUCAUACAAAGACAAUACUCAUCGUACAUAUGACCGGGCAUAGCAUUAUGUGUGCGUACGAAAAACGGCACAAAUCGACGUGGACAAAAUAUUAAACCGAGUCUCUUAGUGUUUCUCUCUGUUGUCAUCGAGCAAAGCAAUCAGACCCGACUAAAACCGGAUUCCCAUAUGUCUAUAACGUAUGUGCGUGCAGUUAUAUGCAGUCGGUAGACUGCGGCUGACCAAAGGAAAGAUGGGGAAAUUUUUUUUUACCUUAGGGGGAAAACGAUUGAGCGCACGAAAACGGUUUAUUUUAUAACAAUAUUCUAUACGAUUUUAUAUUGAACACGCGCGGCCGACACGUGAAGAUAAUAUAUUAUUAUUUUAAUGUAAAAAAAAAUAAAAACCGGCGGAGGUGGCGAGUGCUGUGGGAAGGGUAGGUCGGGUUAAAAAAAAACCUUUACUUGUUCAGAAAUACACAAUUGAAUGAUAAUAUAAUGCGUGUAAAAACAAAUUUCGUCCUUGUCUCUACCGCGAAAUCGCCGCGCUUAAAUUAUUUUCCUCAUUAUUUGUUUUCA